UGUGAGGGCAACUUGGUUUUGGUAUCUGUCAUCCCAUUGAUUACAACAUUAAUUUGGUGGGUAUCGUUCUCUCUCCUCAUCCCAAUCUGUGUCCCUCCCAAAUUUGUGCUCUGGGUUUAGAGGAUGAUGUCCUCUGAUCGCAGAGGAGCAUUCGUUGGUGAAGAGAGUACAGGUCAUCUCAAAGAGAAUGUUGAGGUUGAAAGUUACAAUUCAUGAAGGAAGCACAUUAAACCAUGCCAAACAAAACCUCUUGAUCAUCCGAGGGUGAAAAUGGACCAUUUAUCUCUUCAC
rnacentral:sRNA from 1 species